AAAACCGCCCCCUCCUGGAGCCCCAAUUUCCGGUAGCCGCCGGGGGCAGAGUGCCCCCCCCCCCACGCUGCGCUCCUGGCUGGAGGCGUCAGUUUAGCUGAAUUGUCCCCUCCCGCCCCGCUCCCUCGCCCUGCUGCCUGCCCGGCCCCGCCCGCAUGUCCCCCCGCCAGCUCCAGCGUCUGAGCGUCAGGCUCGUCCCAACCCGACCGCAGUGGUUAGAGCCGGGGCUCCCACACCCUGAGAAACCGCUCUGCUCGGCUGUGAAACUGCCCCCGCUAGGGGAAGCAGGGCGGCAGGAGGAGCAUUUUAUCCUGUAAAGAUGAUUUGUAGGAUUCUUGCUCUCUUGUUUCCUUUCACACUUGCAAACCACGUGUGUCCGAAAUAAUGGCAGAUUGGGGGGUUUCUCUGCCAUCCCUGGGGAGAUUCCAGAUUGUUUUAGCAGCUAGCUGAGCAUAUUGCGCUUAACCUGAGAGGAGAUGGAAUCAGGCAUGUGUGCGAUAAUUGGAUAUUUGUGCUGCUUUGGCAUCAUCAUAAGGGCCAUCAUGGCUGUUACCACCGCCAUCAUAUGCUGAGACCUGGUGACUUACAAUUUUAUCACCAGUUAUAUCUAUCUCACACUUACCUUGCAUUGCAAAGUCCUCCAGGGCAGGGGUUCUCAACCUUUUUCUUACUGAGGCCCCCCUCAACGUGCUAUAAAAACUCCAGGGCCCAGCAGGGGGUGGGGGAAUUUGGGGCUCUGGGCCAGGGGAGACCCUUGGGCACAGACAUAGUUUUACUUCUAUUUACAGGGACCUCACAGGGUCCAGGGAUGGAGCACCACCUCCACUUCCUGACUCACUCAGGAGGCAACCCAGCCUGUCUGGGCUGUGGGGGAUGCAACCAAAAAAUAUAACUGAAAGGAGGAACUCAGUUCAAAAAGUUUGAAAACUGCUCAGGGUGCAGGGAGGAGGUAGCUAGGGGCUGUGUGUGGGCAGGGGAGUAGUUCCAGAUGCAGGCAGGGGGUAGCUAGAUACUGUGUGUGGAGGGGGACUCCCAGGGUUGCUCCCAGCUUUGGCGGGGCAAUGGGGCUCCCAGCUUCAGCCCCACACCUCUUCUGGCUUUGGGGGCUUAAGGGGGUACUGGCAUCAGUCCUGUACCACUCCUGGCUGUGGUAGGGGGUGCGACCUUUAGCCCUGUGCUGCUCCCAGCUUUGGGGCUGGGGGCCACCAGCUUUAGUGUUGAGACUAGGGGCCAGCCAUGGGGCUCUGCUGACCCCCUGAAAGGGCUCACGGAUCCUGGUUGAGAACCACUGCUCUAGGGACAUGGCUGUUGAUUUUUCAUGGAAGGCACUGAGAUACAGUGAUGGUCACCACUAUAAACUCUAAGAGAGAACCCAUUGGUGAGAAGAGCUGAGUUCUGAAGAGAUGAAUUCUGAUGGAUUCUGACUGAGCACAUUUCCCACAGAAGUGCUUAUCAGAGUAGAGAACUGAGUUUUGCGGGCUGGCAUCACCGGUAGAGAAGCUAUCCUACAAUGCCCCACACUGACAGUUAAAUUGGUGCAAGCACUCCUGGUGAGGACACAAGAAGCGUAGUGUGGACAUGUAAAACCGAUUCAAUUGCAGCAAUGCCUGUACAUCGAAGUAACUUAGCUGAAAGAGGGAAGCAGAAAUCUGAGUGACGUGGGGAGCGAGGGCACCAUGUAUCAAGUAUUCCCAGGGACUGCCCAUUUCACAGCUCCUUGCAAAUCUGCCUAGUGACAGCACUAGGGGGCAACCUGAGCCUGGAAGAUGAGGUUAUUCAAUCUGCCUGCAGAAGGUCGGUGUCUAAUGGAGUCCACACUCAUUGUUGCACAAGUAGGGGGAGCAUAGGAACAGGAAACCAACCUGCUGCAAGGGUUGCAGUUAUUUUUGUGCAGGAAGUAUCCACGGUUACAUACACAGAUCGUGUCACUGUUCUUUGUACCUGUAGAGAAAAGAGGGAGAUGUCAGCCCCAGGGGAGAUGACAGAGAAGGAAAAUACCUCUAGGGUGGGGAGAGGAUGAUCACUCUUUGUGGGUGG